UGCAGUCGAGCGGUAAGGCCCUUCGGGGUACACGAGCGGCGAACGGGUGAGUAACACGUGGGUGAUCUGCCUUGCACUCUGGGAUAAGCCUGGGAAACUGGGUCUAAUACCGGAUAUGACCACGUACUGCAUGGUGUGUGGUGGAAAGAUUUAUCGGUGCGAGAUGGGCCCGCGGCCUAUCAGCUUGUUGGUGGGGUAAUGGCCUACCAAGGCGACGACGGGUAGCCGGCCUGAGAGGGCGACCGGCCACACUGGGACUGAGACACGGCCCAGACUCCUACGGGAGGCAGCAGUGGGGAAUAUUGCACAAUGGGCGGAAGCCUGAUGCAGCGACGCCGCGUGAGGGAUGACGGCCUUCGGGUUGUAAACCUCUUUCGACAGGGACGAAGCGUGAGUGACGGUACCUGUAGAAGAAGCACCGGCCAACUACGUGCCAGCAGCCGCGGUAAUACGUAGGGUGCGAGCGUUGUCCGGAAUUACUGGGCGUAAAGAGCUUGUAGGCGGUUCGUCGCGUCGAUUGUGAAAACUUGCAGCUCAACUGCAAGCUUGCAGUCGAUACGGGCGGACUAGAGUACUUCAGGGGAGACUGGAAUUCCUGGUGUAGCGGUGAA
rnacentral:rRNA from 1 species